CCCACGCCGGGGUCCCGCCCGCCUGGGAGGGGCGAGGCUGGAGGAGAGCCGUACGCCCCCGCAAGCCGCCUGGAUUUUCUGGUUCUGAAUUCGCUUCCAGCCAGUUUGCCUCCGACUGACUGUUGCAAGUGGGAAAACUGAACUACCGAGAUGUUCAAUCAGUGUGCCAAGAUGUGCAUUUGAGAACAGAUUGGCUUAUGAGUUGAUACCUGCUGAGUUCCCAGAUGAACAUAUGUCAUGAUUAUGAGG